rnacentral:rRNA from 1 species
GACGAACCUGACAAACGUUAUUCGGAAUUAUUGGGUUUAAAGGGUGCGUAGGCGGUGCGAUAAGUUGGGUGUGAAAUACCUUGGCUCAACCAAGGAAUUGCGCCCAAUACUGUCGUGCUUGAGGGAGACAGAGGUGAGCGGAACUGAUGGUGGAGCGGUGAAAUGCGUUGAUAUCAUCAGGAACACCAGUGGCGAAAGCGGCUCGCUGGGUCUCUUCUGACGCUGAGGCACGAAAGCUAGGGUAGCGAACAGG